rfam:Coniochaeta ligniaria NRRL 30616 unplaced genomic scaffold CONLIGscaffold_2, whole genome shotgun sequence.
GCCUCGUUGGCGUAGUGGUAGCGCGUGUCACUUGUAACUCCUUGGAGAAAGUCAAUGACAAGGUCAGUAGUUCAAUCCUGCUACGAGGCU